rnacentral:rRNA from 1 species
ACUUAAAUUGAAGAGUUUGAUCAUGGCUCAGAUUGAACGCUGGCGGCAGGCCUAACACAUGCAAGUCGAGCGGCAGCGGGAAAGUAGCUUGCU